rnacentral:tRNA from 1 species
GCUUUUAGUUCAGUGGUAGAAUGCUCGCCUGCCACGCGGGCGCCUCGGGUUCGAUUCCCGGCCGAUGCU